GAUGAACGCUGACAGAAUGCUUAACACAUGCAAGUCUUUGGCGAAGCUGUGCUUGCACAGCCUAGCCAAGGCGGACGGGUGAGUAACGCGUAAGGAACUUGCCCUGCAGUCAGGGAUAACAGACGGAAACGACUGAUAAGACCUGGUAAAGUCAGGCGGACUCAUGUCCAGCCUGAUGAAAAGAGAUGCUGCAGGAGAGCCUUGCGUCCUAUUAGCUUGUUGGUGGGGUAACGGCCCACCAAGGCGAUGAUAGGUAGCCGGCCUGAGAGGGUGGACGGCCACAAGGGGACUGAGAGACGGCCCUUACGCCUACGGGAGGCAGCAGUGGGGAAUAUUGGACAAUGGGGGCAACCCUGAUCAAGCAAUUCUGUGUGCACGAUGAAGGUUUUCGGAGUGUAAAGUGCUUUCAGCAGGGAAGAAAAAAAUGACGGUACCUGCAGAAGAAGCGACGGCUAAAUACGUG
rnacentral:rRNA from 1 species